UCCAAGUGAUUCAGCCACUGAAUGGUGACCCUUUCAUUGGAAGUCUUGAAACUCCAGUCACCUCAAGCCCAUUGAUUGCAUGGUACCUAUCCAACUUGCCUGCCUACCGGACCGCGGUGAACCCGCUUCUCCGGGGAGUAGAAGUGGGCCUGGCCCAUGGAUUCUUACUAGUUGGGCCUUUUGUAAAAGCUGGUCCAUUAAGAAACACAGCUUAUGCAGGUAAAGUCCAAUUUAUAGUUACCUACAGAACUGUUAACUAACAAGGAAGGGGAGUAUGAAAGAGAAUUCAAUUGAACCUCAUUUGUCGAAAAAUUACACUAUGGUCCAAUUUUUUUUGUACAUAUAAUAGAUGAUGAACCCGGCGUAUUGUAUGCAGGGGGAGCUGGUUCAUUGGCAGCAGCAGGACUUGUGGUGAUCCUUAGCAUGUGUUUGACAAUUUAUGGAAUUUCAUCAUUCAAAGAAGGAGAUCCAUCAACAGCACCAGCAUUGACAUUGACUGGCAGGAAAAAAGUACCAGAUCAAUUGCAAACUGCAGAUGGAUGGGCUAAAUUCACUGGUGGAUUCUUUUUUGGUGGAAUUUCUGGUGUCACUUGGGCUUAUUUCCUCCUAUAUGUCCUUGAUCUUCCUUACUUUGUUAAGUAAAUUUCAUUAAUUGAUGCAACUAUUAUGAAUCAAAGUUGUAUAUCGAACCGCUUGAUCUCUUGGGGGAAUGUAAUGAAUUUUUACUAGCAUAUCCGCACAUUUUGUUCUUGAUUCUAAUUCUGGCCUCAGGCUCUAGUUUAGUGGUAAUCGCGCAAUGCAUAAUGUGUAAUGUGUUAGGUGGCUAAUCUUGGUUAUAUAAAAAAGAAGUGAUAUCUAGCACUCAAGGGCUGAAGGGCGUGGUUUAAUGGUCUAUGAAGUGGUUGAGAGUCAUGAGGUCUCACGUUCAAAUCUCCGAUGAUUCUUUUCAUCUAUGUGAAAGUUGGUCCAGACAUCACGGUUAUCAAAAAAGAAGAAGAAGUUGGUUUCUCAAAAUCAACCAGUUCAAGUUGGAUUGUUUAGUCUAAAGACUAAAUGGAUAGCUGUUCACGAAAUACAAAUUUGGCUUGAAAGUGGUUUAUAUGCUUGUCAAAAAUGGAACCAAAUAUAAGAUACAUGUCUUACAUAUAAAUUGUUUUAAUUUAAUCAACCAUAAAUGGUCACCUUCGAACUAUUGGAAAUGAAAUAUCAUCCAUUUGGUUUUUGGUUCAAAAAUGCCUCAAAACUAUUUGAAACAUAACAAAAUGCGUCUGCCAUUAGCAAACUGUUUCAACUAUGCUCCUCACCCGUUUAGGGAAAGGUGUGGGAACCAAGGCGUGAUUCUCACACGUCAUUCAAUAAAAAAAGUUAAUAAGGCGUGUGAGGGGUCACGCCUUUACCCUUUUGGUCUGUUUCGAUUUUGUUAAAUUAUUGAUGAAAAAAGUUGUCAUUUAGACUCUGAACUCUAUUAAAUUGCUGAAGAAACAAUCGUAUUGAUUCUCAUGUUAACAAAAAUUAUUCGACUAUAAGCUGAUUCGCGCAACUCAACUAUUAAGCAUACCAAAAUUACUUAAUCCCUUUCCAAUUUAAUUUGUGUUCUUAUAAUGUAAAAUUAUUAAGUCAAUUUGGUGUAAAUAGGGACUUUUCUGUUUUCAAGAACAGCCACUACUGCUACUUUUUGGGUGCCUUGCAAAUCACAAAAAAAAAAACGUAACUUGCACUAAACAGGCCUGAUGUGGCAAACUUGACCUAGAAAACAAACUCCUUGCUUUCGCUGGGAAGGGGUUUUAAACUUGAGACUCCUACCUGGAAGUCUCAUGCCCAAACCACUGGGCCACCGUCGUGAAGGAUGUAAACAGGACUUUCUUUCCCUGUUUUCUUUAUACAAAAAUCAAGUAAGCUAUGAAUGAUCCAUUCUUGACCAAUGCAGUUUGGAUAAGAGAUAAUGUUUUAAAACUAACCAAUAAGAAGCUCCCACGUAAGAGUUUGAUCCACCCUAAGAACCACCAAAAUCUGUAAACCCAAAAGAUUUUCUUUGCCAGUCAUUAACAGGAUUUGUCUGCAUCUUUUGUUAUAUUCUGAUCAAACAAACAGCAGUACUGCCAAACAAUACUUUUCCAAAAUGGCUACUGCAGCAUCCACAAUGGCUAGCCAGUUGAAGAGCAGCUUUGCUUCGUCUUUAACCAAAGGUCUCGGCCUUGUCACUCCCAAAGGCAUUACUGGUGCACCUUUAAAGAUUUUCCCUUCAACAAGAAAGUCUUGCUUCACCGUCAAGGCUGUCCAAGCUGAUAAAGUAAUCAUCACUCUUCUUAUUAUCAUGUUCUUGAAUUUGAUUACUUUUUUUGGAGAUAAUUAUGAUGUUUAGAUCAAUUUGUACGUGCCUCAACAGGGGGUCAAAUUGGUAGAUUUUAUAUUUGUGUUAAAAACAUUCACUUAAUAUGUUUAAUAAUUUAUUCAGAACUCAUAAAUUUAAAAUUUCUGAUCUAUUGAGUAAUUCUGUCCACUAAGGGUUGACAAAUGAGAAAAAAUCACCUAUAGUUUGGAUUUCUGUUUUUUUUAUUUAGAUAAAUUGUGGAGCUAAAAAUUCUAAAGAGAAAUCUUGAAAGAUAAUAAAGUGUCACACUUGGAUUUCAAUCUCGCAAUGUAAAUUCAAGUUUCGAGAGUAUGCGUGAAUCUAAUUGGGGGCGUAGAGUUUCUAAGUGAAGGCAAGCAGAACUAUACAUGGAACUAACUUUUUUUAAUCACCUUUUGCCAUUAUAUAAAAAGUUACUCUUGUGUUGAGGAAAUUCAGUAAUUUAAUUCUUUGGGUAGUGACAGAAAGAUCAAUGAAUCUGAAAAUCAAUACUCAAAUGUCAUACCUAAAGCUUAUCUUAUAAGAAAAAAAAAUUCUUACAAAUUUUGGUUUGUUUUGUGUUGUUUUUCUUGAUUCUGCAGCCUACUUUCCAAGUGGUUCAGCCCCUUAAUGGUGACCCUUUCAUUGGAAGUCUUGAAACUCCAGUCACCUCAAGUCCAUUGAUUGCAUGGUAUCUCUCCAACUUGCCUGCCUAUCGGACCGCGGUGAACCCACUUCUCCGGGGAGUAGAAGUGGGCCUGGCCCAUGGAUUCUUACUAGUUGGCCCAUUCGUUAAGGCUGGUCCGUUAAGAAACACAGCCUAUGCAGG
rnacentral:lncRNA from 1 species